UGGAAUAACCUCGGGAAACUGAGAGUAAUACCUUAUACCCCCUUCGGGGGAAAGAUUUAUCGGAGAAGGAUCAGCCCGCGUAAGAUUAGAUAGUUGGUGGGGUAAUGGCCUACCAAGUCUACGAUCUUUAGCUGGUUUUAGAGGAUGAUCAGCAACACUGGGACUGAGACACGGCCCACACUCCUACGGGAGGCAGCAGUGGGGAAUCUUAGACAAUGGGCGCAAGCCUGAUCUAGCCAUGCCGCGUGUGUGAUGAAGGCCUUAGGGUCGUAAAGCACUUUCGCCAGGGAUGAUAAUGACAGUACCUGGUAAAGAAACCCCGGCUAACUCCGUGCCAGCAGCCGCGGUAAUACGGAGGGGGUUAGCGUUGUUCGGAAUUACUGGGCGUAAAGCGCACGUAGGCGGAUCAGAAAGUUGGGGGUGAAAUCCCAGGGCUCAACCCUGGAACUGCCUCCAAAACUCCUGGUCUUGAGUUCGAGAGAGGUGAGUGGAAUUCCGAGUGUAGAGGUGAAAUUCGUAGAUAUUCGGAGGAACACCAGUGGCGAAGGCGGCUCACUGGCUCGAUACUGACGCUGAGGUGCGAAAGUGUGGGGAGCAAACAGGAUUAGAUACCCUGGUAGUCCACACCGUAAACGAUGAAUGCCAGUCGUCGGGCAGUAUACUGUUCGGUGACACACCUAACGGAUUAAGCAUUCCGCCUGGGGAGUACGGUCGCAAGAUUAAAACUCAAAGGAAUUGACGGGGGCCCGCACAAGCGGUGGAGCAUGUGGGUUAAUUCGAAGCAACGCGCAGAACCUUACCAACCCUUGACAUCCUAGGACAACUCCAGAGAUGGAGCCUUCCUUCGGGACCUAGUGACAGGUGCUGCAUGGCUGUCGUCAGCUCGUGUCGUGAGAUGUUCGGUUAAGUCCGGCAACGAGCGCAACCCACAUCUUUAGUUGCCAGC
rnacentral:rRNA from 1 species